rnacentral:lncRNA from 1 species
UUGAGCUGUUCUCUGUGCCCUUCAUUUAGCAUAAAUAUUUUACUCAGUUUAUUUCUUUAUAGAGCAGUGUUACUCCUUGGAUAUUGACUAGAGGCAAUAUUUAAUAUGCGUGAUUAUUUCUUAUCAGAUUUCCCCCCCAAAAUCACUUAUCUGUGGAAUGUCUUCAUAGGCAUGGGCAUAUCAUAAGAUCAAAUAAAAACAAAGCUGUUUGAGGUAAUAGCGUUUGUUUUAAUUCCAGCUACAUUCCAUUAUACCCGUGUUUUGUCUCACUCCCCAUCACUAUCAUGCAUACUUAAUAAUGUGCUUAAUGCAUAUUUAGAUAACAAGUACAUUUUGUUUUAUAGUAUCAUCGAGAAAGGAGAAGAACACUGUGGACAUCUAAUUGAGGCCCACAAGGAAUGCAUGAGAGCCCUAGGAUUUAAAAUAUGAAAUGGUGGUCUGCUGUGUGAAUAAAUAAUUCCUGAAGAAUGAAGAAGAUUAAUUUUGGGAGUUCUUUGACGAACUUUGAUAUGUGGAAAAAGUAUUUAUAAUUUAUUGUAAGAAGAAAGUAAAAUAUUACUAGUGG